UACGUAGGGUGCAAGCGUUAAUCGGAAUUACUGGGCGUAAAGCGUGCGCAGGCGGCUCUGCAAGACAGAUGUGAAAUCCCCGGGCUCAACCUGGGAAUUGCAUUUGUGACUGCAGCGCUGGAGUGCGGCAGAGGGAGAUGGAAUUCCGCGUGUAGCAGUGAAAUGCGUAGAUAUGCGGAGGAACACCGAUGGCGAAGGCAAUCUCCUGGGCCUGCACUGACGCUCAUGCACGAAAGCGUGGGGAGCGAACAGG
rnacentral:rRNA from 1 species